CUCUUAUCAAGAGUGGUGGAGGGAAAGGCCCUAUGAAACCCAGCAACCUUCAAACACAUGUUGUUUGAAACGGUGCUAAUACCUGCAGAGUGUAAUCUGCGUGAUAAGAG
rnacentral:ncRNA from 2 species